UUCAGCCCUGGUUACCAAAUACCAGUUCUUGAGAGUAAAGACUGGCAGAGGAUGUGCUUAAAAACAAAUUCCAAAAGAGAAAGAUAACCUUUGAUUAAUGUUGAAGAAAUAAAUGAAAUUUGCUGCAGGUUCGGCAAAGAAAACAGAUAAUUUUACCAGGAGUCCAUCAAAAAUAUGGCAGCCAUUGUAGAGAUGGAUGAUCUAUCUGGCCAAGAUUUGUAUCAAAAGAGGCCAAGGCCAGUAGGGGUAAGUGUCACAGACAGAGUCUGGUGGCACAGACAGUGAUCAACGAGUGCCAAAGAAGAGCAGUUGGGGUAGAUAUUGUUACUGAGUUGAAUGAAGAAAAACAAAUCUGCAUUGGUUUAGCACACAAAGGCCUCAAUGGUUGCUGCUGUCCUGCUGUUUCCACUUCUAUUAAAGGAGAGUCUGAGAUCUCUUCAUGUCAUCAGUGAGGAACCACAUACACCCAACCCCGUGCUGUUUAUAAAGGGAUUUGCCUUGGAUGCAGAGACUCUUUUAGAAAUAAUGAUGGAAGGGGAGGAGGAGGUCUGAGAAGUAGACGAUGUGAACACGGCUCUACACUUCAUCUUCAACACUGAAUAUGCUUCAUGAGAGACACCCUGACAUUCAUUGAAAACUGUUUAAUGUAUCAUAAUGCCAAAACCAA